GGUGCUGUGGCUCAAGUGGUAGAGUGCUUGCCUUGCAUGCAUGAGGCCCUGGAUUCCAUUCCUCAGCCCCA
rnacentral:tRNA from 1 species